UCUUAGUCCUUCAUCCUGAUUAUCCAGGAACGCUCACGUCACAGCAGCGGCAGUAAUCCUUCGUCACCGAAGUUAGCAAUCCUUCAUUAUUGAAGUUCGUCUCAACAUCAACAACACGGUUGAGGUUCGUCGACAGCAAGUCUCAUUUGAGGUUCGUCCGAGGUUUGUGCAGUUCGUCCUUCAUUUGAGGUUUGUCUUUGCCUCGACCCAACGUCGGCUGAGGUUCGUCUUUGCCUCGACCCAACGUCGGCUGAGGUUCGUCCAUCUCACGCUUUAUGUGUCGACCCCUCUCUGUCUCGGCCCCUCUCUUAGGCGAGAAAAGCAAAGCACGUGAAUUGUGCGAACGAGAAUCGUGUGACUUUGUGAACGAGAUAAGUGAAUGAUUUAGGGUUUUACUUUUGGAUAGUUUAGGGUUCCAAUCUUAAUAGAAAUACAACUAAGUUUGAUUUUGAGUUUUUGGAUAGGUUUACCUAAUUUUUGUUGCAACUGAGUUUGAGUUUGCGUUGAUAGAAAUAGUAAUUUUUGUUGUAACUCAAUCCACACACACUCAUGUUGUACCAAAGAAAGGAUAAGAAGUAAACUUGUGUAAAUCAUAAAUAUUGGAACACUAUAAAGCCCUUGAGUGCUAGAUAAUUAGACUUAAAGUUCAUUUUUUCAAUUUUAGUUGUUGUCUUGAAUAUGUUUAGAUAGGUUGUUUACUUCUUUACUGGUUUAGUUUAGGUUGUUGCUUUUCCAGAUUUUCUUAAAACUUAUCUAGUCUUGAUUCUAAUUUUGUUUACUUUUACUAAUUUGAUUUUAAGUAAUUUUCUCAUAAACAGUUUUUUUGCUAACUUUUCCAAUUAGGUUUACUUUUGAUUUCUAGUUUUUAGAUCAUAUAGUUACUGAUUACUUCUUUACUGGUUUAGUUUAGGUUGUUGCUUUUCCAGAUUUUCUUAAAACUUAUCAGUCUUGAUUCUAAUUUUGUUUACUUUUACUAAUUUGAUUUUAAGUAAUUUUCUCAUAAACAGUUUUUUUGCUAACUUUUCCAAUUAGGUUUACUUUUGAUUUCUAGUUUUUAGAUCAUAUAGUUACUGAUUAAUUCUUUUCUAUUGCAAUUCCCUAAUUUUGCACUUUAUGAAAUAGUUUCAGGGUUGCUGCACAAUUCAGUUUCCAUCUCACGUCAGGUUCACUACACAGCCGCUAAAACAUCAUGGUUUCAUCUUUCUAUCUCACCUUUCUCUCCUAAUAUUUUCUCUUAGAAGUCAUUUUUAUUGUCAAUUUUUAUUUUAUUCUUUGAUUCUGUUUUAGUAGUAUACUUCUAGGCAUAUAGUGUAUUUGUGCAAUUCAAAUUUAUAUCUCUAAAUACCUGUAUAAGUAGUUUAAUUUGAUGCAUUGAAACUUGUUUAGUUGUUGUUUCUAGUUAAUCCUAAUUGUGUUAAGCAUGUUUCAGCUUUGCAUACUCAUUCUAGUUGCUAGUUGUUAGUACAGCUUUUAAAUUCUAGUUCUGCAUAGUACAUUUUAGUAUAAGUUGUCAUUUUGAUCUGUUAUAAGUUUCAGGACAUGGACAUCGUGGUAUGGUUGCUGCAGCUCGGUGGAUCAAAAAGCACUCCACUCCUAUACUUGUUCAUGAACUUCGCAAAAACCAUGAUUACCAAAUCAAGUUUGAAAAUUUAUCAUUAGUAUGGGGAAAACCACGGCAACCACCUCUAGGUUCUCGAGAGGUGAUGGCCUUUCAAUCUUGAGGGCAAAACUUAGAAGUCAAAAGAAGCUAGUUAAACAUUUGAAAAAAAGUCACUCUGGUCCAGAAGUUUGGAGGAGCAUGUUGUAGGCAACAAUAAAGAAAAGUUAAUGUAAUGCUCAAACUAGGGAACUCAUAAAUAUGCAAAAGCAUAUUGGGCUGCGCUGGUUGUUAGCCCAAAGUGAGCGAAGCGUUAGUCCAAGCUGGUGCACGCUGGGUUUUGGGUCACAGGUCAUCUGGCCCAAAUAUCGGUGAAGCGGACUGCUGAAGAUGCUGGUGGGAGUGGAUGACCGCUAGAUAUAUUGGGCCUGUUGCUUCUUGUUCGCCCAUAAAAGAUAGUUGUUCAUUACUCAAACAGAUUUAUUAAUCCAUAACAAACAAAUCAACAUAAUCAAUUGUUAAAAUUUCUCUGUAAUAAAUUUUUAACCUAAGGGAAUAAUAACUUUAAAAAAAAUGCUGAAAGUUGUUUAUCGUGUU